UACAGAGGUCUCAAGCGUUGUUCGGAUUCAUUGGGCGUAAAGGGUGCGUAGGCGGUUCGCUAAGUUGGAUGUGAAAACUAUGGGCUCAACCCAUAGCCUGCAUCCAAUACUGACGAACUAGAGUUCUGGAGGGGGUAGCGGAAUUCCUGGUGUAGCGGUGAAAUGCGUAGAUAUCAGGAGGAACACCGGUGGCGAAGGCGGCUACCUGGACAGAGUCUGACGCUGAGGCACGAAAGCUAGGGGAGCAAACAGG
rnacentral:rRNA from 1 species